rnacentral:lncRNA from 10 species
CUUUCUCCCAUGCUGGACUCUUCUUGCCCUUGAACAUCGGACUCAAGUUCUUCAGCUUUUGGACUCUUGGACCUACACCAGUGGUUUGCCAGGGGCUCUCGGGCCUUCGGCUGUAGACUGAAGGCUGCACUGUUCGCUUCCCUACUUUUGAGGUUUUGGGACUUGGACUGGCUUCCUUGCUCCUCAGAUUGCAGACGGCCUAUUGUGGGACCUCACCAUGUGAUCAACCUACAGGAAUAGGAAGGCUCCGAUCUCUGGGAUAUGGUCUCCAUGACUACAAGUUUUAUAGAGUGACUCCUUCCCACACCGCCAUCCACGUUCCCUGACAGCUCCUCUUACCUACUCACCCCACCCUAUGCCCACCUGAAGAAAACACUUUUCCGAG